GAUGAACGCUGGCGGCGUGCCUAAUACAUGCAAGUCGAGCGAACGGACGCGAAGCUUGCUUCUCUGAUGUUAGCGGCGGACGGGUGAGUAACACGUGGAUAACCUACCUAUAAGACUGGGAUAACUUCGGGAAACCGGAGCUAAUACCGGAUAAUAUUUUGAACCGCAUGGUUCAAAAGUGAAAGACGGUCUUGCUGUCACUUAUAGAUGGAUCCGCGCUGCAUUAGCUAGUUGGUAAGGUAACGGCUUACCAAGGCAACGAUGCAUAGCCGACCUGAGAGGGUGAUCGGCCACACUGGAACUGAGACACGGUCCAGACUCCUACGGGAGGCAGCAGUAGGGAAUCUUCCGCAAUGGGCGGAAGCCUGACGGAGCAACGCCGCGUGAGUGAUGAAGGUCUUCGGAUCGUAAAACUCUGUUAUUAGGGAAGAACAUAUGUGUAAGUAACUGUGCACAUCUUGACGGUACCUAAUCAGAAAGCCACGGCUAACUACGUG
rnacentral:rRNA from 1 species